rnacentral:rRNA from 1 species
UCAAUAAGCGGAGGAAAAGAAACUAACAAGGAUUCCCCUAGUAACGGCGAGUGAACCGGGAUCAGCUCAAAUUUAAAAUCUAGUACAUUUACUUGUGCUCGAGUUGUAAUUUGUAGAAGUGUUUUCAGUGCAUGAUGUUUAAUAAGUCUGUUGGAAUACAGCGCCAUAGACAGUGAUAGCCUGGUCUUUUUAAAUGUCUUCUUGUACAUUAUGAUACACUUUCUAAGAGUCGAGUUGUUUGGGAUUGCAGCUCUAAUUUGGUGGUAAACUCCAUCUAAAGCUAAAUAUUGGAGAGAGACCGAUAGCAAACAAGUACCGUGAGGGAAAGAUGAAAAGAACUUUGAAAAGAGAGUUAAAAGUAUGUGAAAUUGUUGCAAGGGAAACGCUUGUUCGUACACGCGGGUUAAGGGCUUGCUCUUGAUUCGGGUCAACAUCAGUUUGUUGGAAAGGUAUUAGGCAAGGAGAUAUAGCAGCCUUGUGCUGUGUUAUAAACCUUGUUGAAAACUUCCUAAUGGAUUGAGGAUCUCAUCACACUAUUUGCAAGGCUUUCGAGCCUUUUGUGUUAAGGAUGUUGGCAAAUACUGACAAACCACCCGUCUUGAAACACGG